CGGCCACCAGAGGAGCACCGUCGGAAGCCGGGGCGGACACGCCGGCCCGGUUGGCUCCGCGCAGGGGCCCUGCCAGUGGUGGCGAGACGGUGCCCGGGGUGCUGCGCGACGCGGCGCGGAGACACGCACUUUCGCCCCCGAAAGCAGUGUCUGCACCCUGCCGGGCAAACAGCUCUCUGGAAAAGCCCUGCCUGCUAGUAAAAUGGACCAAAUCGACUUGUGAUGAGACUCGGCUUUCUAGAUAACACGUCAGGGGAUGAGUGUAAGCGGGAGUUUCUUCUUCAAUUCAACAUCCACUGCUAAUUUGUACGGUUCAGUAACGGGCAUCAUAUAAAUCCCAAUCCCUUGCAUGCGUGGGAUAAAUCAGAAACAGCAUAACAAACCUUGAUGCGUGCUGUUUGGCAGAAACAUGUCACUUCGUCGAACUGCUUUCUUAAGUCAGAAGAAUAAACACCACGCUCAGCAGCAUACAUCCAUACCUGUUUACAGACGCUGUGUAUAUAAAUGUCUUUACGUGAAGCAUCGCCCAUUGUACCUGUGCUUUGAACCAAACGGAGAAGGACGACUGGAACUCACGAAUCCAGGAGUAUAAAUCAAAAGGGCUCUGACAAGUUGGAGAAAUGGUCAGAAACAAGCAGAAUGAGGUCUUCUGAGUGCAGGGUCACACAUCAGAGAAGACAAAAAAAAACAAUGAACUCCACAAAUGGCGGAAUCCAGGGCUCACAGUCACUGACAAGCUGACCGUGAAUCAGAAACGGGAAGCUGUAUAGGCUCGGUGGGCUGAGGAAAAGUUAUGGCACCUGUCAGGCCUCUUCAGGGGACUGUAUCAAGCCCCAGACAACCCAAUUUGGGGAGUAACCCUGAUCCUGGUUCAGAGGGGGAUGGCACAAGGUUACUUAUGAAAAGUCGAGGCGGUGGGACUUUUUAAUCAAAGAGAAGUGUAAAAACCCACGUGGAAUAUUUAACGUCUUCGCAUCUGUAGAUGACAGUCCCCAAG
rnacentral:lncRNA from 1 species